rnacentral:rRNA from 1 species
GACGAAGGAUGCAAGCGUUAUCCGGAUUCAUUGGGUUUAAAGGGAGCGUAGGCGGAUUGGUAAGUCAGUGGUGAAAUCUUUGGGCUUAACCCAGAAACUGCCAUUGAUACUGCUGAUCUAGAGUACAGUUGCCGUUGGCGGAAUAUGACAUGUAGUGGUAAAAUACUUAGAUAUGUCAUAGAACACCGAUUGCGAAGGCAGCUAACGAAGCUGUAACUGACGCUGAGGCUCGAAAGUGCGGGGAUCAAACAGG